UCCCGAUAAAGGCGAACCGUCCGAAAGGGUGGGGCGCAAAGCUACGGGCCUAAGGCCGAGAGGCUAUGGCUGCCGGGCUGCCGAA
rfam:Dehalococcoidia bacterium DG_22 WOR1_52_54_5756, whole genome shotgun sequence.